CCUACGGGAGGCAGCAGUGGGGAAUUUUGGACAAUGGACGCAAGUCUGAUCCAGCCAUGCCGCGUGCGGGAAGAAGGCCUUCGGGUUGUAAACCGCUUUUGUCAGGGAAGAAAAGGCUCUUUCUAAUAAAGAGGGCUCAUGACGGUACCUGAAGAAUAAGCACCGGCUAACUACGUGCCAGCAGCCGCGGCAAUACGUAGGGUGCAAGCGUUAAUCGGAAUUACUGGGCGUAAAGCGUGCGCAGGCGGUUGUGCAAGACAGGUGUGAAAUCCCCGGGCUUAACCCGGGAACUGCACUUGUGACUGCACGGCUAGAGUACGGUAGAGGGGGAUGGAAUUCCACGUGUAGCAGUGAAAUGCGUAGAUAUGUGGAGGAACACCGAUGGCGAAGGCAAUCCCCUGGACCUGUACUGACGCUCAUGCACGAAAGCGUGGGGAGCAAACAGGAUUAGAUACCCUGGUAGUCCACGCCCUAAACGAUGUCAACUGGUUGUUGGGAGGGUUUCUUCUUCAGUAACGUAGCUAACGCGUGAAGUUGACCGCCUGGGGAGUACGGCCGCAAGGUUGAAACUCAAAUGAAUUGACGG
rnacentral:rRNA from 1 species